rnacentral:lncRNA from 1 species
GCAAAAUUAUGUUAUAUAUUAUUACGAGUUCGGCUGCUAUACUAUCAAUAACACUAGGAACUUUGUACUAUCAAAUUUUUCGUCGUUAGAUCUAUUUUUUUAAUUAUUUUCAUUCGUUAGAUUAUACUAUUCAACCAACCACCUGCUCAACCCUAGAGAACUAUUAUCAUUUUAACCGCAUAUUUUUCAUCCAUGAACCGAAAACCAAAUAGCACCAACGAUUUGGUACGAUUAAUAGUAUAGUAGAAAAUAGAUUUUUAUAUAUAGUAGAGGUUUAAUAAAUUGAUCAUAACCGUUCGUUUUUAUUUGAAAUAUUUUUAACAAAUUAAUCAUAACCAUUCUUAUGAAAUAUUAUUUUAUUUCUUUUUAAAUUCCGUCUGUUAUUAUCGGAAUUUCUAUACGCUUUUAUAUUUUACUAGUUGAAUGUACGUGCAAAUGCACGUAACAAUUAAUUAUUAUAAUAUAUUUCAAACCAAUAUAAAUGUGUACAUUAUAUAAAUCCAAAAUUUUAUAAUAAAAACUAUAUUUAUAAAUUAAUAUAUUAUAUUUUAUUAGAAAAUAUUUACAAUAUCCUAUGUGUUUUUUUUUUUAUAUACAUCGAACAUUUUUAUAUACUUUUUGAUUUUUGAUGAUUACAGAUUAAUCAUAACCGUUUAUUUUUAUUUGAGAUAUUUUUAACAUAUUAAUCAUAACCAUUCGUUUGUUUAUUAGGUUCUUUAUUAGGUUCUAACCGAGAUUGCCACCCUAAUAAUUAUGUGCAGGAUAUUUUAUUCCUUUUUAGAUUCCGUCUGUCAUUGUCGGAAUUCCUAUACGCUUUUAUAUAUAGUAUAGAUAUAGAUAUAGAUUAUUGAUUGGAUGGUUUAAUCUGUUUGAUUUAGAUCUAUUUUAAAAAACAUUGUAAAAUAUAUUUAUUUAU